ensembl:lncRNA
UAUAUAUAUAUAUUAAUUUAUUGUUAAUGCAAGCUUGUUUUGUAUGGAAGCUUGUUUCUGCCACAGGAUAAAAUAAAUAAAAAUGCAAAACAAAAGGGUAAAAUUGCAACUUUUUAUCUUAGCCUACUCUAACUUUUUUUUACUUCAAAACUGCGAAAUAUAGACAAAUUUAAUUUUGAGAUAUAAACUUGCAAUUGUAGGAAAAAGAGUCUGAAUGGUGAGAUAUAAACUCGCAAAUUUGAGGAAAAAGAGUCUAAAUUUUGAGAUAUAAAGUUGCAAAUUUGAGGAAAAAGAGUCUGAAUGAUGAGAUAUAAAGUUGCAAAUUUGAGGAAAAAGAAGUCUAAAUUUUGAGAUAUAAAGUUGCAAAUUUGAGGAAAAAGAGUCUGAAUGAUGAGAUAUAAAGUUGCAAAUUUGAGGAAAAGGGUCUGAAUUGUGAGAUAUAAACUUGCAACUGUGAAAAGAAAAGUCUGAACUGUGGGACAUAAACUCGAAAAUUUGAAAAACAAAAUAUAUGUAUCUGAGUUACAAGAUAUAAACCCACAGAUUUGAAGAAAAGAGUUUGAAUUGUGAAAAAUAAACUCACAAAUUUGAGAAUUAAAAAAAGAGUCUGAAUUAUGAGAUAUAAACUAGUAACUGUGAGAAGCCAGGAUUUCAUUUUUUUUAUUUAUCGGUGGAAAAAGAAUAGCAUUGCAAAAUGUAAAUUCUAAAUAAUAAAAAACUCUGUAUUGCAAGGUAUAAACAAUUUAUUUAUUUAUUUAUUUUAAUUCUGAGCCAGAAAAAAAGCUUCCAUGGCUUUGAUUCUAUAAUCAGUGAAGGGUCGCAUUCAUUCAUGCACAACACAACUCGACUUUUUGAUUGAAUUGAUUGAAUCAUGAAAUGUGUUUUUGUUUAACUUCCCUUUGGAUACAUGUUUUUGUUUAGUUAUAUGCCCAAUGGCCCAUGCAGGGCCUUGUACUGAACACUGUCGUUCUACAUAAUGUCAAACCUGAAGAACGUGUGAAGACUUGUUCCAUUUAUGCUUUUUAUGUAUUUCAUUAAGUCGAAGCUAAUGCAUGAAAUUACUACAUUUGCAUUUCCUUCAAAAGUCCAGGAUGAGACUGAUGUUUCUGGACUGGCCGGCUCACAGCCCAGCACAUUAACUAAUCAAAUUCACACGGCUACUUGUGAUGCAAAUCUGAUGUGAUGUCACAUCUGUUGCUGAGGUGAUAGCAAAAGGGCUAAUGACACAUUUCUGUCAAUGCAUCACGCUCAACAGAGUUGUUGUUUGAAUCCAGCUCAACAUAAACCCCGAUCACUGAUAUUUACUGUCUAACAGCAGGUGGCGCUCUCAGGAACGAAUGUCAAUUAUUGAAGGAUCUUUAAAAAGCUCUUUAUUUUCUGAUAAAAAAGAAAACAAAAAAUAUGCAUAUUCGCAAACAGACAUUUAUAUGGCUAUGUCACUACAAGGUAAAUAUUUGACUGCUAUUGUAUGUUAUUUGUGGCUUAUUGUGUGGUUGAUAUUCAUACAUUCAUAGACUCAUAUUUAUUCGCUAUUACAAUAUCAGAUCAGAAUCAUUCAGUCAGUAUUCAUCAAUGUAAAUUAAUAGAUCUUUUUUUUCUGUUAUAUCAUGAAUAUAUAUAUAUAUAUAUAUAUAUAUAUAUAUAUAUAUAUAU